rnacentral:lncRNA from 1 species
AUCCUCUCUAAAAUCCUACUGACAAUAUAAGAAGAUUCAUAAAAUGUCCACAGAAAUCAGAGCAGGUGUCAUUCGGACUAAGCUGGCUCUAUUUCUCACUAUGAUUAACCAGCUCGUAAUGACAACAUUUCUUAUCUUACAACUGUGGCAUGAAGAGGGAGCUGUAGCUCUUCUGAGACACAAUUCUGCACACCCCAGCUUAUCCACGCUCUGCGAUCUCGUGUCUGUUUCUCUCUCUCUCUCUCUCUCUCUCUCUCUCUCUCUCUCUCUCUCUCUCUCUCUCUCUCUCUCUCUCUCUCUCUCAUCAUUUUAACCAUUGUACCAGCUCCAUUUAAAUGUAUCUGCGGAGGAUCUGGUCAAGUGGAGAUAAUCCAUGCAAAUCAGAAACUGGUUGUCAGUGUGUGGUUCCCGGAGAGGACUCAGCCUGAGGAGGUCACUCGUUCACAGCCGCUCCUCCCAUUCUAUCUCUCCCCUUAUUGCAGAACUGCUGUAUGUAUACAGUAGCAGAAAGGACUCAAUUGACUUCAACUGCUGCCUGGCUUUGCUUACAACUUUUUCUUAUAAAGGAACUUACCUCCAUCUGUCUCUUGAAGGUGGCUGGCUACUUCCUCUAAACUCCACAACUCAUUCGAAAGACUAUGGAGCCUACAUAGUUUCUAAAGACAAACGAUGAAUUUCAAACUUUGCCAGAUUCUUACCUUUGCACAGAGAACUCUGCACACCCAUCUCACAGGAGGUGGCAUGCACAAGAAGUAUGCAUUCAAUGUGAUCGGCAGCUGAAAGGAACUUUCAAACACACCAGGGCUUUACAAUAAGUAAGUGCUUCACAACUCUCAAAUUCAUAAUUGUAAAAAAUAAUUAUAUGAAGUGGCAAAAGAAGUCAGUUUUGCUAUUGGUGUGGAAAUAAAAUUUAUAUUUCUA